CACGCAGGCGGCUAGGUAAGUCAAAGGUGAAAGCCCUCGGCUCAACCGGGGAACUGCCUUUGAAACUGCUUUGCUUGAGUCCGGGAGGGGGGAGCAGAAUUCCCAGUGGAGCGGUGAAAUGCGUAGAUACUGGGAGGAAUACCGGUGGCGAAGGCGGCUCCCUGGACCGGUACUGACGCUGAGGUGCGAAAGCGUGGGUAGCAAACA
rnacentral:rRNA from 1 species